AUGCCACAUUUAAUGUAUUUUACUUUGUCUUGGUACCAACAGAUAUAUAACUGUACUUUUAUGCUGAUUACUUUGUUACAGGUGGAAAAAGAGGGUCGUAGUAAGGUGUGGGCCUACUUCACUAAAGAUCCAUCCGGUGAUGUCGUCUGCAGCCUCUGCUCAUCUUCAGCAGGCCAGGGAUUCCUGCAUGGAAGAGGUUGUUCCAGCAAUGUGUCUGAAACUACAAAGAGACAACGGAUGGCGUGGAUUGCUACUAUCAGAAGACCUAGCUUAACGUUCGAGGACACCCCAGGUCACAUGUUGCUCUGCUAUAGACAUUUCCAUAAAGGUACGCUAAUGUAUUGCAGUGAAGUGAUUUAUCAUAGCAAAUUUGUAGAUACGGGUCACAAACAAGGCCUCUGAUGGCCCAUUUGUUUCGCUGGAAUGCUUUGUUUACAUUAGCUUUGCGGGCUGCUAUUUGUGUCGUAUGCAGGCAAACCGGCCUACAGCAUGCUGGAAUGCCAUCCGGACUGGGCUCCGUCCCUCCACAUGGGUCAUACCGAGGUGAAAGCGAUGACCACCGCCAGAUUUGACCGGUUUAGACGGAGAGCCAGAUCAAAACAACAGCCUGUUGUUCCACAUCCGCCGGAGCCAGUGACCCACCCAUCGGUAAACUGGACUUGGGCUUGUUGCAGAGAUCUGACGUUACUAAACACUUCAUGGGUGUAUGCACUCACACUUAGCACCAUAUAGUUAAAAAUAUAGGCGUGAGUAAAGUUGGGCAACACGCUAACGUCUUUGCUCCAGUGUUUGUGUUCGUAGGGGUCUAACCCGUUUAAUCCUUUGAUCUUCUCCUCGUACCUUUCUCUAGAUUUUGCGCCGAGCCUGUCCUUGUACGGACCGGGAGCAGUCUCCUUCGUUUUAUACAUCCUUGUGAAUUAAAAGAGGUUAAACUCCUUUGCUAGUUUACACCGCAGAAGGACUGUUUGGAGAUGUAAACACUGAGCCCAACAGAGAAAAACUGCCUCCCGGGUUUUUAAAUCUCCCUCCAUCCUCAAUUCCUACAAUGCACCGCGCGUAAGUCACGUGGUCUGUCAAUCUCAAUUAUAAACAUUUUGUCAAUGCUCAGCUCUCACUGGGCCUCGGGAUUGGACCUUUCAGAGUGUCAGUAACCAGAUUUAUUGGACACACUGGAAACAACGUGAGGUACGCGCUCUGGGCUCAGUUGAUGCUGCUUAUGUUUCUAUUAUAUUUGCUGUAUUGACACUGUGGAUGUCGUAUGCUUUGGGCCUGUUAGAGGAGCCUUCAUCUGGAGUCAAAGUUAUCACGAAGAGUAAAAUUAAAUGAAAUAAAGUUGGGGCUCAGGUUAAUUAGUAUAUGGACCUAUAAAUCACGUUUAAUGCACUGACACCAUGAACGUUGUAUGUAUACUGUGUGAACAUAGCCCUCCCCGAGGAGAAGUGGGCGUGAUAGAUCAGUAGGAGGAUACUGCAGGCCCUGGGAAAGCAGAGUGAGGUAGAUGUUUGUUUGUUUGUUGCUGUAGUUACUGUUUUUUUUUUAUUGAUUUAAACGCUGAUGUUGUUUAAAUGUUUAAUGAAUUGUUUUCAUCUGUAUUUUGAGGAUUUGUUUUCUUUUUAUUGUACGGUUAGUUUUAACCAUGCACUGGCGCACUCCAUCACUUGUCACUGAAAAACUAGGAAAGAAGUUGGAUUAAAGAAAAGGAAAUGAUUGCACCUGUCGAGGCUCUCUCCAGCUCUCCUGGUUUCAUGUGACCUGGGACUGCUACAAGCUGCUGUUUUCGCUCAGCACCACACCUUCACGGUCAUUGGUGCCAUCGGACAGUUUCUACGAAUGCUUGAGAAAUGACUGUCCAGGUUUAAAUGACCCGGCUUUCAGAGCCAGAGGACUCCAAAGUGCCAUUCAUCCAUUCACACGCUGGUGGUGAUGAGCUAUGAUGUAGCCAUGGCAACCCUGGGGUACACUGACAGAGGUUUAGUGUAUUGUAGUUUUGGAGCUAGACCAGUUGAUCGUGUUGACAUCUAUCCUGUCUGAUGCACAGACUAAAUAAAGCUUGACGAAUUCUAAACUAGGUUUUAAGCACUCUACUGCAGACAUGUAGGCUCAGUCUGGGGUGACGGACCACCAACGGAUGGGAACGGAUUUCCGUUUGUUUUCAGCGUUAUUAUUGCAGCUGAUGCUUUAGUUCCAAUCCCCUUCUGGACAUCGGUGUAAAAUAUUCGGUGACUAAAACUGACACACAUAUAGUUUAAACAGGAUUUAACAUGAAGUCGAAGCCAACAGUAGUUUCACCAGUGGGGUAGCUGCUAUGGAUCUUUGUUCUCAGAUUGCACAUCUUCUCUAACCGGCUAAAUUAUCUGUAAUAGUCUCCAAACGGGCUGCUGUUACUUGUGUCUGACAGCAGCUGUUGGAAGAAACAGACAUUUGAAACCAGUUGUAAUUAAACCAUUUUGUUGUUUAAGUUGGUGCUCCGUUUAUUUUGACAGGACUGACAUCCUCUUGUCAUUUUCGCUCUGGGGCUAACUAGCUAGCAAAGCUAGGUAGCCGCAAAGUAACGGUAACAUAUGCAUUUAAAUCUAUUUACACAACGUUGAAACGCUGCUUUACCACAAACUAAAGAACAUUACUCACCAGUCUGGCUGCUGCUCCUCUAACCAGGUUUAUUCGCCUAUUGUCAACGCAUUAAAUGUUCCAGGGGCGAAAUCUUUGAAUCCAUAGCCGACAACGGCAACACAAGAAGCAACUGCUUAGCUAGGAUCGGAACCUAGUUGUCCUGGUGCUGCACACACCGGAACCUUUCAUCGAAUGCACAGAGUACUUUUUCCGUUUUCGCCAUCUUAGAUGGGUCGAGCUUCCGGCAGACACGAACCAUAACAGGGGCAGUAACCACCUUGUUUUUGAAAGAUGCUUGUCAAGUACCACUUGCUCUAAACUUAAUUAGUUCUUUCUCUAAAGCCUCAGGCCUCCAUCUUAACCUAAACAAGUGUGAGUUAUUAUCCAUUAAAGAAUCCACAGCUGCCGCUGUUUGUGAUAUUCAAGUUAAAAAUCAGGUAACACAUCUUGGCAUUAUUAUAUCUAAAGACCCCACCUUAAGAUGCCCAACUAAUUUUUCCUCCACUAUCCAGAAAACUCAAAGAAAAUUAAACUCUUGGCUUCAAAGAGAUUUGUCAUUGAAAGGCAGAAUCCUUCUCUCUAAAGCUGAAGGUCUCUCCAGGCUUUCCUGCUCAAUCUCUGUAUGUGGACAAUAACACUCUAAAGAAUAUUGAUAGAAUGCUAUUGGACUUUGUAUGGAAAAGGAAAGUUCAUUAUAUUAAAAAAUCUGUUUUAAUCAAUUCAGCGAAUCAUGGAGGUUUAAAUUUUAUAGACUUCUCAACUCUCAAUAAUACUCUGAAAAUUAUCUGGAUCAGAAAUGUUUUACUUAAUCCUUCUGUAUGGAACAUCAUCCCCUCUUUCAUUUUCUCUAAACUAGGUGGUCUAAAAUUUCUUUUGACUUGUAAUUAUAAUAUUCCUAAAAUCCCCAUGAAGCUCUCAAACUUUCACAAGCAGAUGUUGUUGGCAUGGUCCCUCAUUUUUAAGCACAAUUUCUCACCACAUACUUGUUUUAUUUGGAACAAUAAGUAUAUCACUCACAAAAAAAAGUCUGUUUAUUGAAAACUGGUUUGAUAAUAAUGUUAUUCUCGUUAACCAGUUAGUAAAACCUAAUGGUCAAUGUUACACUUUCUCUGAAUUUAGAGAAAAGUAUCCUGUAGUGGUUUUUCCUAGGGACUUCAAGAUUGUGAUGAAUGCAAUACCGUCUGGUAUCAAAAUGCUGCUAACAGGAUCCUCUUUUUUGGAUGGUUUGGUGACUUAUACUGACCUCGCUCAAACAUACGUUGGUAAAAUUUGCUUUUCUCCAAAUAAAUCAUGCAAUAAAUCUACCAGAGGUCUUUUCCAUCAGCUUUCCAUCUCCUCUCCCUAUAUUAUUUCAUUUAGGAACUCUACUGUAAAUAAUAUUCCAUGGACUAAAACCUGGGUUUUACCCCACAGAUAUAUUUUAACUAAUAAAAUUAGAGAGGUUUCUUUUAAAAUAUUACAUAACUGUUACCCUGUUAAACAUUUUAUUUCCCAAAAAUUUAAAAAGUACAUUGA
ensembl:lncRNA